UUAAACCAAAAACAUGCUUUAAUGCCAGGCAAGAGCUACACAGUCAACUGAUAUACGGGCCACUCCAUAGGCUAUGAUUUAUAAAUUAUGUAUUAAAUCCACCGUGGGAUACUGAUGGGAUGGGACAGCACCCCCAGCCCCCUCCCACUCUGAACGAUGUAUGAACAGUUGAGCACUCUGUAGAAUCCUUCAGGCCGUAAGCCACUUUAUUCCAGUCCCUUGAACAUCACAGGACUGGAUGGGUUUCCCUUCUUUUGCCCCCACCCCCGAGUCUUAGGUUUUAGAACAGAGACAUUAGAAUAAAAAAAAAAUAGUAACGAUUAAAAAUCAUCAAACAAUGAACACCACGAAGUCU
rnacentral:antisense_RNA from 1 species